UACAGAGGUCCCAAGCGUUGUUCGGAUUCAUUGGGCGUAAAGGGUGCGUAGGCGGCGCGGUAAGUCGGGUGUGAAAUCUCGGAGCUUAACUCCGAAACUGCAUUCGAUACUGCCGUGCUUGAGGACUGGAGAGGAGACUGGAAUUUACGGUGUAGCGGUGAAAUGCGUAGAUAUCCUAAGGAACACCGGUGGCGAAAGCGGCGUACUGGGUCUUAUCUGACGCUGAUGCGCGAAAGCUAGGGUAGCAAACAGG
rnacentral:rRNA from 1 species